GCCUGGUUUUAGUGUUCACAUGUGGUGAUUGGGCAGUGUAUUGUUAGUUAGCUGUUUUUCAUAAGUGCAGCAACUGCAUACACUUCCAUAUUUCCAUAUGUUCUUUCAUCAGGCCAGUUU
rnacentral:pre_miRNA from 15 species